rnacentral:rRNA from 1 species
GUGGGGAAUCUUCCGCAAUGGACGAAAGUCUGACGGAGCAACGCCGCGUGAGUGAUGAAGGUCUUCGGAUUGUAAAGCUCUGUUAAUCGGGACGAAAGAGCCUAGUGUGAAUAAUGCUAGGAAGUGACGGUACCGGAAUAGAAAGCCACAGCUAACUACGUGCCAGCAGCCGCGGUAAUACGUAGGUGGCAAGCGUUGUCCGGAAUUAUUGGGCGUAAAGCGCGCGCAGGCGGAUCUGCCAGUCUGUCUUAAAAGUUCGGGGCUUAACCCCGUGAUGGGAUGGAAACUACAGAUCUAGAGUAUCGGAGAGGAAAGUGGAAUUCCUAGUGUAGCGGUGAAAUGCGUAGAUAUUAGGAAGAACACCAGUGGCGAAGGCGACUUUCUGGACGAAAACUGACGCUGAGGCGCGAAAGCCAGGGGAGCGAACGGGAUUAGAUACCCUGGUAGUCC